CUGCCGUUGGACAGAUAAGCUGUCCCUUUUGUCUCUCUCAUCCCCAAACAAUCCCCUUCUCACUCUCUUGCAAUCCCACCUUCAUAUAACAUAAUCUCCCUCUCUUUUAAAACCUCACAACCCCAAACCCUACUUUAAUCCCUUCAUUCUUUCCAUCUUUCUCUUCAACCAUAUAUCUUCAUCUUCCAUAUCAAGUAACUAUGGCCUCGAAAGCAAGGAAGAAGCAGAUAUGGUGUCCACAGCCACUGACGCCGCUCAUGGAAGGGCCGGACCCCGAAAUGCAAGAGGAAGGUGGCAAAAAGGAGAGCUCUUGGGAAGUCAUACGUGAAUGGUUUAGGGUACAAAAGGGUGGCCCUCCUAGUCCCGGGACUAACUUAUCGGCCUCAGGAUAUGGGGGUGGUGGUACUAUUCCAGCCAAAAGACAAGACUUGAGGCUCUUGCUUGGUGUUUUAGGCUGUCCUCUUGCUCCAAUUCCACAAGCCAAUGAUCCAGUUGAUCAUCACCUCCUUCACAUUAAGGACAUCCCAUUUGAAACUUCUAUAGCGCAUUACAUUAUACAGCAGUACUUGGCAGCCACGGGGUGCUUGAAGCAACAGAAGUGUAACAAAAACAUGUAUGCAAGUGGGAGUGUGAAAAUGGUUUGCUGUGAAACUGAGGUUUCUGCUGGAAGAAAUGUGAAGACUUCGGGAACAAGAAGUGGGGAAAGCGGGUGCUUUGUUCUUUGGCAAAUGUUGCCUGGCAUGUGGUCUUUGGAGUUGGUCGUUGGAGGCAACAAGGUGGUGGCUGGUAGUGAUGGCAAAACGGUUUGGAGGCACACUCCUUGGCUUGGUACUCAUGCAGCCAAAGGCCCCCAGCGCCCACUGCGUCGCCUCAUACAGGGCCUAGAUCCAAAGAGCACAGCAAGCUUGUUUUCCAAAGCACAAUGCUUGGGAGAGAAAAGAAUCGGAGACGAUGAUUGCUUUGUACUAAAAGUCUCCGCCGAUCGAGCGCGGUGAUGGAAAGAAGUGAGGGUCCUGCAGAAGUAAUCAGGCAUGCAUUGUAUGGAUAUUUUUGCCAAAAGAGUGGCCUCCUCAUAUACUUAGAGGACUCACACCUCACCAGAGUUGAAAACCCAGAAAAUGAAACUGUGUACUGGGAGACCACCAUAGGAAGCAGCAUUGCUGACUAUAGGGAUGUGGAUGGUGUGCUCAUUGCUCAUCAGGGCCGCUCGAUCGCCACAGUUUUCCGGUGUGGCGAGGUGUCGAUGGAAUACACAAGGACUAGGAUGGAAGAAGCUUGGAGCAUUGAUGAUGUUGUGUUUAAUGUACCAGGGCUUUCCAUGGACUAUUUCAUUGCUCCUGCUGAUAUAUUUGAUAGUACUGUACCAUCACCACCAUGAUCAUUAACUGUCUACUCACGAACUGAUGGAGCUUAAUUACUAGGAUAUUAGUUUGGUUUUAAUUACAAAAAUAUUGGUGGGUACACUUUGUUAAUGUGAUGUAAUAUUUUGGGGGUUUUUUCUUCUUCUUUUCAAGUGUAUUAUGUAGUAUGUAGUAGGGUUUGAAGUAAGCUUAAAAUGACAAAUUCAAGCAUGGGGUGGAAUAAGGGAUCUUGUUGUAUUCUAAUCUAAUGCAUUGUCCUUUUUUUUUUU